GUGUUAUGCAACAAUGAAGACUAUGAAGACAGGACUCAUCUUCUAUUCACUUGUCCAUUUAGUCAAGGUUUCUGGUGGAACAUUGGAUUUGAAUGGAAUUCGGAUAUGGAGAUCAACAAUAUGAUUAUUGAUGCUAAACACAGAUAUAAAAUUGACCACUUCAUGGAAAUCAUGAUUCUUGGUUGCUGGAGCAUAUGGAACCAAAGGAAUGGGAUGAUUUUUGAAGGGAUACCUUGCUCAAUAAAUGAUUGCAAGAUUGACUUUGUCAGAUAUUUCAAAAUGACCAUGCUGAGGGCUAAACCCACUCUAAAAGAGGGCAUGUCUUCAUGGAUAGACAAUAUUUAA
rnacentral:rRNA from 1 species